rnacentral:rRNA from 1 species
AUACGUAGGUGGCAAGCGUUAUCCGGAAUUAUUGGGCGUAAAGAGCUCGUAGGCGGCUUGUCACGUCGAUUGUGAAAGCCCGAGGCUCAACCUCGGGUCUGCAGUCGAUACGGGCUGGCUAGAGUGUGGUAGGGGAGAUCGGAAUUCCUGGUGUAGCGGUGAAAUGCGCAGAUAUCAGGAGGAACACCGGUGGCGAAGGCGGAUCUCUGGGCCAUUACUGACGCUGAGGAGCGAAAGCGUGGGGAGCAAACAG